rnacentral:lncRNA from 1 species
UUUGCCCUCCGGAAGCACAACUCCUUAGAAGAAGUAAGAAAUUCGGCCCUCCAAAGGUUUCCGCUCCGGCCUCAGCCUUGAGCAACGUGGAUAUCCCCUCCAUCCGGCAUUCCAGGGCAGUCCUCGCACGCGUACAUCGUGCUCAACACAGUAUUAUAUGGUCCCAUCAGACAGAUGGCUCCCACUGGGGAUCUUUAAAAGAUCAUGGCACAUAAAAAACCAGGUGAAGAGCGCUCCGUUUGUACUAAUAAUCGUAUCAAGUUCCCUCGAAACUUGAAGUGCUUGAG